rnacentral:lncRNA from 1 species
GCCAAACACGCUAGUCGCACAAGUAAAAGAAAAACAAGGCAAAUGGGAGUAAUAAUAAAUAUUAUUACCACUAUUGUACUGGAUAUAAGUGGGUUGAAAAUGGAAAAAUGAAAGAAAAUGGGAGUAAUAAUAAAUAAGAAAAUUUGUGCAUAUCCUUAGUAGUCCCAAAUAAUUUAAUACUGCCUUAAAAGUGUAGACACAAAAUCAAAGGAGCAACUAUAAAUUCGAAAGAAGUGGAACAGCCAAAACCAAAUUCACAUGUUUACAAUUUCAGGCAAGUCAAACAAAGAAACCACCAAUUUUGCCUGAAGAAUCUUUCUUUAGUAAGAAAAUCUUGAUAUUUUCCUUUCCUUUUUUCUUUUAAGCCACUUGUGAAAAAUUAUGCAUGCAUGUAAUUAAAUGUGCUUUUUAUGUUGUCUCAUUUUCAGACGUUACAAGUGUGUGAUGAUUCUAUUCUUCAUGUGAUAUGUAGUACUCCUUCUGUUUGUUUAGCUGAUUUUGUAUCACUACAUAAAGUCCAAAAGUUGGUAUGUUUGUACAUUUUUUCAUCUUUUUCUGAUUGAUGGGGUGGUGGGGUUUGGUUUGUUAUGAAAAAAUAUUUAAAUAAAUUCCAAAUUUUGAUUCUUGGGUUUUGUUUAUAAUUAUUUGUAUAUGUGUACUUGUGUUAUUUCUCUUGAUUCUUGAAUUUGUGGCUGGGAAAGUAUCUCUUGGGCUGGGAAGUGUUGGGGUUCUUUUUCCUACUGAUGGCAAGUGAUUUUUCUUUUCUUUUUUUUUCUUCUUUUUUUGUGUGGUUGUGUGUGAUUUUCCUUGAAGGGGGGAAUGCUACUUUUUAUAUUGAUUUAAUAUUUUUUUUGAGGGAUUUGAUGAUUUUUUUUUGUUUUCUGUUUAUUAACUGGUGGAAUUUGGUUUGCAGUUGAGUGAAUUGUCUCUUUUGUUGCAUUUUUUAUCAACAAGGACAGAGAGAGUAUUGGAUCAGUGUUUGUGACUUUGUUCUGCUAUAUAUUUGAAGAACAGAAAAGGAGAAGCUUACACAGUAUGGCUUUUUUCAUACCUCUAUUCUUUUUAUCAUUUAUGUUUCUCUUAAACUGUAUAAUGUUCUAUUCCAUUUGGAGUAGCUGAAUUUGAGUCAAAGGGUAGCCCCGUGCACAAGGCAUCCCGCGUUCAAGCAGGGUCCCGGGAAGGACCGCGCCCUAAGUGGUGUGAUGUAGACAACCUACCCUAAUGCAAGCAUUAGUGGCUGCUUCCACGUCUCGAACCCGUGACCUAUAGGUUACACGGAAACAACUUUAUCGUCGCUCCAAGGCUCCCUUCAAUUUGAGUCCUUAGCUUAUAACCAUCAAAUUCUGAAAAACACUUUCUUUUAAGUAUGGGAGUUGAACUUUUGAAUAAGCAAUACCGUGUUUGGAUAGAAGUACUGAAGUUGAAAAUAAGUAGUGUCGGGUAAAUAAGGGCAUCAAAAGGGAUUAAUUGUUACCUGAUACCCAAAUGGCCUUAAAAAUUUGGAUUUCACAUGGUAUCAUAGAGGGUGUUAAAUAUAUUUACUAAUAUAUACUAAACAGAUUAUGUGAACCUAUUUGCUUUUUGGUCCGUUCCAAAAAGAAUGACCCCUUUCUAAAUUUGGUAACAAUUUAGCUUAAACUUACAAUUCUACCCUUAAUGAGAAGCUUUUAUAACCACACAAAUACUCUGGGCCCCUUUUUAACUUGUUUAGGACCACAAAUUUCAAAAGUCUUUAUUUUUUCUUAAACUCCGUGCCC